UUGUCUGAACAUAAUGAUUUUAAAACUUGAGCUUAAAUGACACUCUGAAAUCUCGUCAAUGUGCCUCAGUAGACUUUUUUAGAGAACAUUAGUUUCAACAGAAAAUGUUGGCUUACUGUGAGAACUUUGAAUACUUAGAAGUGAGAGGUGUAGCAGUAUACUUUGCCAGUACCUCAGAUAAUCCUCUUUUAAAAAAUAUUCAUACAUAUUCUGAGCUCAUUAUUUUUCCCUUUUUUUAAAACAUACAUAUGCUGUUGAAAGCAAAAAAGGAAGCUCAUCCUUAUAUCUCAGAAGGCACAUGCAUAUGCUGAGUGGAAGCAAGGACAUGUAAAAGGGAGACUACUACUCAUUGGAUCACACAUUGAGUGCCAGAGUCAGAGAUAAUCUAAGUGAUGAUGUCCAGGAAAAUGGGGAACUAAUAUUUAUGGAAAAUAUAUUAUGAAAUACAGUGAGUAUGGGGUAAGAAGAUCUCUUCUUAGUGAAAUGAUAAAGGCCCAAUAAGAGAGCAGUAUUUGAAAUCCAGUCCCAAGGAUAUGUUUGUUCUAUAUGUGAAUGUUGAUUUACAGCUUCAGGUGUUAAUGCAGCAAACCCAUCUCUGCCAAAACUUCAGAUUCUCUAUUUCAUCUGUCUGCCAGAGCAGUAUUUGGGAAAGAUGACAAACCAAGUCACCUUGAUUUUUUUCUUCAAAAUCUGCAUUUGACAUGUUUUCAAGAGUUUUAGAAAUAACCAAUAAUCAGAGAAGAGGACAGAGAUUAUAUAAACACAUACUUAGAGGAUUGUUUGCCACUGUCAAAACUGGAAAUUUCCCACUUUUAGUUACUGAACGUUUGGAUUCCUAAAUUUUGUGACCUUUUCUUUUCACUUUUAUUCCCUGAGUAAGACUCUCCUGAUAUGGAUCUUAUGAAAUUUGUGCAUCAAGAAACAAUAUGAUUAUAAUCCAGGAUGACUUAGGAUAAUAUGCAAAUGUUUUUGCCACUGAUCUGAACAGGAUAGUAUAACUUGAGUGCUUCUGCGUUGAUCAGAUUGUGGUUUUCAAAUUCUUCUGGAGUAUCCUGAACAAUUUUACUUAAGAACUGCUGUGAAGUCUAAACCUCAUGCUGAUUCAAGGAGUCUUUUACCAGGAACCCCCUGAAGAGACACUCUCUAGAUCUUGUACUCUGUAUUUAUUUCAUGGUCCAUCAUGAUCAGCACAGCAUCACUAAUUCCACAUUACUCCCCAGAAUGCAACUGUAUGAAGUUAUCUUCUGAAUUGAAAAUUAUUUCAAGUGGAUAGUACUUGUAAUAUUAUUGGUGUAGAAUGGACAAUCUCAAGUAAAUAUAAGCCAGCAUUCCAGGAAUAUGUGGAAUGAAAGGGAAGGACAAUACAUCCUGACUUGAGCUAGAAGCUUUACCAACUGCAAAAUCACAGAAAAAAUAAAUAGAUACAUAUACUCUCCUGAAAUUCAUCUUGCUUUUCAAAUAUUUAUAUUUCAUUGGCAAUCUUUGGAUUUGGAAAAAAAAAUCUCAGUAUUUUUUUCUAUGGAUUAUCAACUUUCCAUCAAAAUAUUUACCAGUAAGAGCCUUGUAUAUGUGACUUUAAUACUUAUAAACACAAGUAUUUUCUUUCUUUUAUUUUUUUUUCUUCAACCUAUAUACCAUUUUAGGAAUCUAAACAUAUUAACUAAUUUACUGGGCAUAUAUAGCUUAAGAAUAAAUACUUAAGAAAAUUGGGAUUGGGUAGUGGUAUUGAAAUCGAUAUAAAUACAGUGAAUGGUGAAUAUGUAUGAACUGUUCAUUGGAUGUUAGUGAAAAGAACGAAAUUCAACAUGUAAUAGUCGUUUAUUGUAUUUUAUUCUUUCUUUGCUUACUCUUUCAUGGACUGUAAUGCUCAAGCAUAGAAGCUACUUUUAUAAACAAAUAUUGUUUUUAAAAAUGUUUAUUGUGUUAAUAGAGCUACUUUCCUAGGGAAGUUUCUAAAAGCAUGUUUGGUAAAACGGCCUUCUCGAGAAGAUUUUAGAAAGGAAUGAGACCAUUUUGUAAAGAUAACACAAUUUAUAUUCAUUGUUUGAAUGCUUAUGAAUAGGAGAGAGGAAAUGGACAUGAGGAAUGUUUAUUAAUCAGGAAAAAAGUAAGCCACUAGUUAUUGUGUAUUUUGAGAAUAUAGUGUAUGAAUAAUUAAAUAUAAUUGCAUUGUGACUUUAAGGCAUUGUGAUUGCUAAGAGUUUGCUAAUAUGUAGAAGAAAUAUUUUUAAUACAUGAUUAUAAAAAUAGGAUUGUUAGAAUACCUCUGAAUGAUACACAUUUAAAAUCAUUUGAAUUAUUGCCGUGGCUUUUGGUGUGGAGCGAGUAUUGUUCUGUAUGCAGCUGCCACAUAAGAAAUUUUAUUAAGGCUGUUCUAUGUGGAUGUAGAUGUUAUUCUGUAAAUGGUUUUUAUGUUAAUAUUUGUAUGGUAUGAGAUUUAAUUCUCACGAUGGAAUUAUUACUGCAUAAGAGUCCAGCUUCUUUCUAUUCAUGUUUAGGAUUUGAUGGGAUUUUUUAUUGCUAUGUAUAUAAUAGAAAAAGGUACUGUGGUAAACCAUCCAAUUAAUCAUGGAGAUGACCGACAUUUGGGGCAUUUUAAAUGUUAGAAUAUAAUUUUAGUUGUCAAGAGGAGUUUCUAGACUGGCCUUGUUUUUAUCAAGCAAAUAAAGCAGAAUUUAGAAGGUAGAGAGUAGGGAAUUUUAGAGGGCUAUAGGUAUAUGCAUAUGUGCAGAGAUAGUUCUUGAACAGCCUCCAGGCUUUACUUGAUGCUCAGAUGUUGGGAAUCUACAUAUAUUUUAUUAAUCCUGUGAUUUUAAAUAGUUGUAGUUUGUUGUUUUAUCCAAUGGAUUUGUUAAGUUGCCUCAACAUUAAUUCCUUUUCAGUAGAUACUGUUAUACCUUUUGUUAAAGUGUUAUAUACACUGUAAUUUUCUUUAACAUCUACUUCUCUACAUACAUAGACAUCACUGUAAAUACAUACCAUUUUAUAUGGAUAGCCAUUUUUGUUUGACAAAAAUGAUAUAUCUAGCCUCUGUGUGUUCAUUGGAUCUUUAGGCUCAAAUUUUAGGGUGGGGUAAAUGCAGUGUCUAGUAUAAUACCUCAUUAUUUUUUAUACAUGAUUCAUGAUGGAAAUGUCAUUAACUGUUGGUCCGCCUUUGUUUAUGGUUUUCAGAUAUGUUUGUAUGCAAUAGAAAAUACAGUUACUAGGUGAAUCUCUGCCUGUGGUUAAACAUAUAGGUUAGAAAGUUUUUAUUUGCUGGUGGAAUUUGACUUUUAAUAAUAACUGAAUUGUUCUUGUUUUAAAAUACUUAUAUCUAAUAGUAUAGGUGAUUUACAAGUUUUUAUUGGAGAUGUUUGUAUUGGUCUGCCAAAUAUAUGUUCUUAAAGGAUGGGCUGAUCAAAGAAGAGCUUUAAACAAUUGUGUAUAAAAUUAGACACAGUUAUAAUUAUUCUUUGGCUUUAAGAAAACAAUGUCAACAUGUUUUGUAAAUAUGUAAAGUGAAAAAUUUGCUAUUAACAGUUGUCAGAUUAUCUCUGAGUAAAUAAUUGGGCAGCUGAUGUUCAGGAUAUUUUGUUCGAUUGUUCUGUGUAUAAAAUAGGAUAUAAUAAUUUUUACCUUAAAGUUUCAAUCCUUAAUUUUACAGGGGUUGCAUUCAUAUACAUCUGUAUAAAUACCCACAGGUGUAUUGUAUAUGUAUCUAUAAAACAAGUGUUUAUUAAAAAUCAUAGACUAGAAACACCUUUUGGCCAAAUAAUUAUCACUCGGCUUUAGUCUGUUCUUUGUGUUGUUCAAUGGUGGAUGAUGCAGGAAGUUUUAGUAUAUGAGCUUUAGUAGCUGGAAGAUACUGUUAUGCCUACUUAAGUUACAAACCAACAUUAGUUUUUGUUUUAGGACAUCUGCAUAGGAUUUGCUGAUAGGUGUGUAUAUUUUUUGGAUACCAAUUUGAGAAGACAAUGUGAAAAAACACUAUAUUUUGACAAAUUGAAUUACUAUACCAUGUCUCUUUGGGAUGUAUUUGGUGAUGGGGAUUGUAAUUUUUUUUGCACAUAGAUGAUAAGUGUCAUAUCAUUUUUAGAUAUGUAAUUUCUGUCAAUAAUUUUAGAAAUAUAUUUUCAUUGAGAUACUAAAGGUGUAAUCAUUACCUGAAUAUAGAUAUAGUAGAGCAACCAUCUUCAAGGGCUAUGCUUGAUUAUGAUUUUUUUCAUUCUGUGUUUAUUUAAGUUCUUUAAGUUUAUUUAAAUUCCAGUUGAUUAACAUACAGUGUAAUAUUAGUUUCAGGUGUACAAUUUAGAAUUCAGCUAUUCCAUACAACACAGUGCUUAUCACACAGGCACUCCUUAAUUCCGAUCACCUAUUUAAUUCCUCCUGUACUCACCUCGCCUCUGGUGACCUUCAGUUUGUUCUAUAUUGUUAAGAGUCUGUUUCUUGGUUUGCCUCUCUCUGUGGUUUUGAGAUCUUUUAGUUACAUUCAUUGUUAAAGUACAGAAAUUACUACCAUUCAUAUUUUUUAAACAUAAAAUGAAUACUUUCUUAUACUAAUAUAAGUUUUGGAUGUUGAAUGUUUAGAACAGAGCAGGGAAGCAGUUGCUGCAUGAGAUAAGCUUAUGUAGUAUAUCUUAAUUUUCUACAUAUGUAGAAACACCCUCUACAUACACCUACCACACCCACACACCCACACCCACACAAAAAGUAAAUCUGUUAAUGUGGAGAACAACCAUGGUGAAAAAUAAUAUAUUACUUGUAGAAGUGUUACAAGACUAUCACUAUAUAUUGUGUGUGGGGUUAUUAUUAGGUACUUGUGCACCUGUGGUCAUAUCUUUGUUUUUAUACUGUAAAACUUUAUAGAUGUGCAGACAUUUCUGUCAUAUAUUUGAGUAUAUUUUACCUAAAGCAUGUAAACUUUUCUUCUGCUUGUAGACAUGAAAUAGUAAAAUAAACCUCUCUGCUGUUAUGAUUUCUAGACUGGUAUGUAUGUAGUUAUUGAUAAAAUAUUUAUUUCUAGAAAUACAGACAUUGCUGAUAAAUAGUUUCAAAUAUCAAGUUUUUAAAAAUCAAUAUUAGUUUCUCCGCAUGUCCAGUGGAUUUUUGUGAGAGAAUGGAUGGGAUUGUGAAUGUUUUUCAUUCUCAGAUUCUUUGGCUUUGUACCUAUUUUUGGUUUAUAGAUAUAGUGAACAUCAUGUAUGUUUCAGUCAUGCAAUUGAAAAACUAUGAGUUUGAAAUGUUUAACAUUUCAAAAUGAUUUUAAGAAUUCCUUAUGGAUGGCACUUUGUGGUUUGUUGUUAAACAGUGCAAUUUUCAAUAGUUACAUUAUAACAUUAGACUUAGGAAGUAUAUAGAAUUGUUGGAAAACAAAAUGAUUGAAGGUAGAAACAGUUUUCUUUUGAGGAUGUGCUCCUUUGUGUAUGAUUCCUUGGAAUACUGGGAUUAUUAAAGACAAUUUAUUUGAAAAUUGGGUUAAAAGCCUCUGAGCUUUAUUUUUGUUGUAUUUGUGUGUAUUACACACACAUGUAUAUAGUCAGGAAAGAGAGGGUGGUUAAAAAGUUCAUUGCCUCACAUUUCCAUUUAGAAGAAAAAUUAGACUUCAAUAAUUAAGUUGUGUCCAUUUCAUAUUUUUAUAUAUUUCUACUUAUUUAAGGGACAUGAAGUGUAUCUUAUUUCUCAGAUGUACUGAGGUUCUUGAUGAAAUUUAUUUACUAAAGAAAAUUCUGUAGAAUCUAAAUCACAUAAUUCUGUGUUCAUUUGUUACACAGCAAUAAGACAACUUUGGAAAUAAUGGGGAAGUCAAACAUUUAGUUUUAAGCAGCUAAUAUUUCUAGAUGUAUGGAGAGUGACACAGUAUAAUUUUGUAAAUAUUUUCAUUGUAAAUGUGUUAGGAUUAUUGUCUUAUAAAGUCAGCAUGGCAAGGAAAUUGAUCAUUAAUAAAUAGGGUCCUGGAGCUAUGCAAUAUUAUCAUAUAUUCAUUUGGUUGUUAAGAGAAAUAGAAAAGAUUAUGUAUUUAGCCCAUUCUCAUAGUAGAAUAGUUUGCCAUUGUAUAUGUCUAAGUUGUACAUUAAAAAACAUAUUCUGUGUAAGUUCUUUUGAUGUUGCUGGGUGUAUUGUAUUUUAUUUGGAGCUUCCCUGGGAUGUGAACCUUAGAUUAUUUUUGUGUUAAGAUAUGUUUUUAGAGCAGAUCUAGGUUCAUAGCAAAAUUGAGAGGAAGGUACAGAGAUUUACCACCUAGCUCUUUUCCCAGCACAUGCAUAAUCACCCCUAUUAUCUGCACCCCUUACCAGAGUUAACUUAACCAUUUGUUACUGCUGAUGAAUUUACAUCAAUACCUCAUAAUUACCCAAAGUCCAUAGUUUGUCAUGUUAACUCUUGGUAUUGUACAUUUUGUGGGUAUGGAAAAGACAUGUAUCCAUCAUGCAGAAUGUUUUCAUUGUCCUAAAAAUCCUCUGUGCUCCACCUAGUCAUCUCUCCCCCAUAUUUAUUUUUAUAAUUGUUGUUAACAUUGGAAAUAUAUAUAAAUGACUUUGUUAAGGAGAUUUUAUACUACCUCUUGGAACUAUACACAAUUCUGUAUGUGUUCCUUUGGUUGCAUGACAAUAUUCAAGACAACUUUGUAAAUAAUAGACAGAUACAAGUUUUUAAUUUUUAACAUCUAGUCUUUCUAGAUGUGUAGAGUCUCACAACGUAUAAUUUUGUAAAUAAUUCAUUGUAAAAUUUCAUAGUAUCAUUGUUAUCAAAUGUUUUAAUUGCAGUGCAGUUAAUAAAAAUUUUAAGUUUCUUGAGCUAUUGUCUAUUUUGGUAUCCACUUUUUGAGUUGUUAGGGGAAGGAGAAAGUUACUAAAAAGGUGUACUGUCACUCGCAUUCUCUAAAAGAAAAUUUUACAUUUUAAUCACUGUUUAGUCCUUGUAUUAUUAUACAUUAAAAAACCUAAGUCAUAAUUUUAGUUGUAUUGCUAUAUAAGUAUAAAUUAUACAACUAUAAACUUAUAGUA